rnacentral:rRNA from 1 species
AACGAACGCUGGCGGCGCGCCUAAUACAUGCAAGUCGAGCGAGAAGACGUAGCAAUACGUUUGUAAAGCGGCGAACGGGUGAGGAAUACAUGGGUAACCUAUCCUCGAGUGGGGAAUAACUAGCCGAGAGGUUAGCUAAUACCGCGUACGCUCCUUGGACUUCGGUUCAGGGAGGAAAGCGAUACCGUGGGUAUCGCGCUCUUGGAUGGGCUCAUGUCCUAUCAGCUUGUUGGNGAGGUAC